GAAGAUGAUGAUUGGACGAUGCAACCGA
rnacentral:piRNA from 1 species